rnacentral:rRNA from 2 species
GGGAUUAGCUAGUAGGUGGGGUAAUGGCUCACCUAGGCGACGAUCCCUAGCUGGUCUGAGAGGAUGACCAGCCACACUGGAACUGAGACACGGUCCAGACUCCUACGGGAGGCAGCAGUGGGGAAUAUUGCACAAUGGGCGCAAGCCUGAUGCAGCCAUGCCGCGUGUGUGAAGAAGGCCUUCGGGUUGUAAAGCACUUUCAGCGAGGAGGAAGGUGGUGANCUUAAUACGNUCAUCAAUUGACGUUACUCGCAGAAGAAGCACCGGCUAACUCCGUGCCAGCAGCCGCGGUAAUACGGAGGGUGCAAGCGUUAAUCGGAAUUACUGGGCGUAAAGCGCACGCAGGCGGUUUGUUAAGUCAGAUGUGAAAUCCCCGGGCUCAACCUGGGAACUGCAUUUGAAACUGGCAAGCUA